UCUGGUUGAUUCUGCCAGUGGAAUAUGCUUGUUUCAAGGACUAAGCCAUGCAUGCCUCAGAAUAACUGCUAUGCAGGAAUCUGCGCAUGGCUCAUUACAUCAGACGCAAUCUGCCGCAAAUAUCUUGCGGUUUCCGCAAUAUUGGAUAACUUCUGCGAAAUGCGAAGCUAAUACAUGAAUCAAAGGCGUAGUCACCAUCCACUCUGUGCGUUCUUCGGGGCCUACAGAAGCGUGGCACCCUGCGAAUGAAUGAAAUUAAAACCAUCCCCUUUCACGAGGGAGACAAACCAGUAGUGUUGACUCAAUUCAUUCCGUGCGUAAGCCGAUCUAAUCGGCGUCUUUCGAUGAACAACUGCUCUAUCAGCCAGUGAUGGCCGUGUAGUGGACUGCCAUGGCGUUGACGGAAGCGGGGGAUUAGGGUUCGAUUCCGGAGAGGGAGCCUGAGAAACGGCUACCACUUCUACGGAGGGCAGCAGGCGCGCAAAUUGCCCAAUGCCAAGAAAUGAUGAGGCAGCAAAAAGAAAUAGUUCAGCUAACCUUCGGGUUGGUUGUUGCAAUGGGGGAUAUUUAAUUCCAUCCAAUAUCGAGUACCAAUUGAAGGACAAGUCUGGUGCCAGCACCCGCGGUAAUUCCAGCUUCAAUAGCGUAUUCCAACGCUGUUGCUGUUAAAGGGUUCGUAGUUGAAUUGAGGGCAGUUCAGGAGUUAAUCUAAGUCCCUACCUCCGGUAAGCGACCGAUUCUCUGUCUGUCCGUGAACAUCCGAAACAAAUUUCACGGGAACGUCCGCCUCCCAUUUUCGCAGGCAACGUCUGCGGGGGGCCGCCCGUGUUUUUACUGUGACUAAAAAAGCGCGACCAAAGCAGUCGUUCGACAUGUAUUUGAAAGCAUGGGAUAACAACGAAGCAGCCUACGGAGUUCCGUUUCGGCUUUUGUUGGUUUUAAAUCUCUGUGGGAGACUAUGGACUCGCAUGACAAGUGGCUCGGGGUUUCCAUCCCCACACCUCCUCUUCGUUUUGCUUUCGGGCAUGCGUUGGGGCUUGCGUGGUCCAGGAAUGAAGGAGGGUUGUUCGGGGGAGAACGUACUUGAGCGUGAGAGGUGAAAUUCUUAGACCGCCCAAAGACGAACUACAGCGAAGGCAUUCUCCAAGGAUACCUUCCUCAAUCAAGAACCAAAGUGUGGAGAUCGAAGAUGAUUAGAGACCAUUGUAGUCCACACCACAAACGAUGACCCCCACGAAUUGGGGAGUAUUGGGGUUUAAUGUCGUCAGAGUUCGCUCUCUCGCCAUUACCCCAAAGAGAAUAAGAUUUACGUGCACAUUCUUUACGGCUUCGGCCAUCAACGGGAAUAUCCUCAGCACGUUCUUUUCUUUUCACGCGAAAGCUCGAGGUUACAGUCUCAGGGGGGAGUACGUUCGCAAGAGUGAAACUUAAAGAAAUUGACGGAAUGGCACCACAAGACGUGGAGCGUGCGGUUUAAUUUGACUCAACACGGGGAACUUUACCAGAUCCGGACAGGGUGAGGAUUGACAGAUUGAGUGUUCUUUCUCGAUCCCCUG
rnacentral:rRNA from 1 species